AUGCUCACUUUGGCAGCACAUAUACUAAAAUUGGAAUGAAACAGAGAAAAUUAGCAUGACCCCUAUACAGGGAUGACGUACAAAUUCUUAAAGUGUUCCAUAUUUUU